GGUGGUUGGCUCUUUGCUUGUGCAACAACUAUCACCUGGCAUACCUUUUCAUUUAUGCGUCAAGGCAUGUGUCUUAGCGCAUUGUGGGUUUCCUGUGUUGCCUACCUAAGCGACGGUAUUGUUAAGGAUUUAACAUAGUCCCUUUUCGUCUUGUGUUACACUUGUGGCAUGAGAUGAACCGUUUGAAGCAGUUUCUAUGAUCUACAUUGUUGAUGCGCAUGUGUUGAUAUUGUGGCUCAUUUAGCAUUGCUUGGUCUUGAGGAUAUAGAAGCUGAUGUGGGCACGGGUUCUUCAUUGGAGCCUUGUUUUGCCCUUGAAAGUGUUCACGCAUCUCUAAAAUGACUUCCCAUCAUGUAGUGGCUUGUACCAGCAUGGUGGGUUAUGUCUAAGAGGAAUGCUACCUGGUUGAUCCUGCCAGUAGUCAUA
rnacentral:misc_RNA from 1 species